UAUGGCAAGAAGGCGAGGAAUCAUUAAAAAGGGGAUAGAGAAUAAGAUGGAGAAUAUACUAUUGCCCUUAUGUAAAUCGAUGGUACGACCACGUCUUGAACACUGCGUAUAGAUGUGGUCUCCUCAUCUCAAAAAAGAUAUACUGGCACUAGAAAAGGUUC